rnacentral:rRNA from 1 species
UGGGGAAUAUUGCACAAUGGGCGCAAGCCUGAUGCAGCCAUGCCGCGUGUAUGAAGAAGGCCUUCGGGUUGUAAAGUACUUUCAGCGGGGAGGAAGGGAGUAAAGUUAAUACCUUUGCUCAUUGACGUUACCCGCAGAAGAAGCACCGGCUAACUCCGUGCCAGCAGCCGCGGUAAUACGGAGGGUGCAAGCGUUAAUCGGAAUUACUGGGCGUAAAGCGCACGCAGGCGGUUUGUUAAGUCAGAUGUGAAAUCCCCGGGCUCAACCUGGGAACUGCCUCUGAUACUGGCAAGCUUUAGUCUCGUAGAGGGGGGUAGAAUUCCAGGUGUAGCGGUGAAAUGCGUAGAGAUCUGUAGGAAUACCGGUGGCGAAGGCGGCCCCCUGGACGAAGACUGACGCUCAGGUGCGAAAGCGUGGGGAGCAAACAGG